rnacentral:rRNA from 1 species
UACGAAGGGGGCUAGCGUUGUCCGGAUUUACUGGGCGUAAAGAGCGCGCAGGCGGUUGUUUAAGUCGAAUGUGAAAGCCCCCGGCUCAACCGAGGAAGUGCAUUCGAAACUAACUGGCUAGAAGACGGGAGAGGGAUGUGGAAUUCCAGGUGUAGCGGUGAAAUGCGUAGAUAUCUGGAGGAACACCGGUGGCGAAGGCGGCAUCCUGGACCGGUAUUGACGCUGAGGCGCGAAAGCUAGGGGAGCAAACGGGG